AUGCUUCAUAAACACUGUUUAAAAAGUGUUUUUGUUUUCUUUUUGACUUCUUUGACCAGAGCCCUACACAAAGGAAGAGGACAGAGGACCUCAUUUUCUAAAGGAAGAGCCCUCACACACUUUCAAGACUGUGAAGGUAUUGAAGACACGUUUUCUAAGAGGAUGAAAGUUGGCAUUGUGAUGGUGAAAGAAGAAGACAUCAUCGAUGUGUUGGUUGUCCUUGAGGCGGCAGUAAUCCUGUCUAAUCUGAGGGAUGUCUCAAGUGCCAUUUCCAUGCUGAUGGGCCUUCUUUUUGCCCUCAACAUAGACUAUCCAAAGGAACUUAAGGGCAUCUUUGAAGUCAUUCAGAACGUCCUAAUGAACAUUGGUGGAAGGCAGUGCAUCUCACUAGUGCAUGGUCUAAGAAACAGACUCUUGCAGAAAGCCAUGCAGAACUGUAAUUGUAUGCUCACAGCAUACAAUUGCCUUAGUGUUAAGGACAGUUUUUAUUUUACUGUUUGUUUUUUUAUUCUUGCAAGUUCUCAUUCUCACUUUUGUAUGUCACUAAAUGACUACACUUUACAUUCCAGAUUAGACAAUUACUCAUUUGUUCAUGGUUUAAGAAACUUAUGUGAACAACAAUAUAAUGGUGGACUCUGCAGAUGCUUAUCUCAUGCAAGUCAGUAGUUUUUCCUUUGUUUUGCAAUUGAGCAGACUCAAACUAAUGUUUCUGAAAUAUCCAUCUUAUCAAAUGUUUCAGAAGCAUGCACUCAUUUUCAAAGAUAUUGGUUCUGUGGAAUUUGUUGCAAUUGUAAACGAAGACAAAUACAAGAGUUUGAUGUCUUAGUUGUUAUAAACUGAUCUUUACUGUCACUUAUCAAAGGUUUUGUACUAUUUUAAUAUUUCAAGUUUUAUGCUAACAGGUGUGACUGAGCACAAUGAAGUUUAAACAUUUUGCAAAUGUAAAGAAUAACUUUUCUAAAAUAGCAAGUGUCCCGUUGAUACAUUACAUUAAUGCAGACUUUAUGUUGUUACAAGAAUCACUACUGCUCCUAGAGUAUUGGUCAGAAUUUAAUCUUCACCCAAACUGGGCUCAAGACCAAAUUCAAAUUUAUUGUUUCACAGGGAGCAACCUUUGAGUUUUGAUGGAUUGUGAGCCUGAUGAGCUACGUCACUGAUUUUUCUGUUUCUCAGAUGACUAAGAUGGCACAAUAAAUGGUGAAUGUUGGGUGCUCAUGAGUAAUUGUCUUGUCAUGUUCUUAAAACAAACUUGAAAUGAUCAGAUACACUUUAAUGGAAUCUGUGGGGUUUUAUUUUUUUUCUGUAAACAACGGAAAAUUAAUUUAAAGGAAUGUAGAUAUUUAAACCUGAGAUCUAAGAUAAACCUAACAGGUAGUUUUGCUGAAAUGGAUGUUAGAAAGCUAAAAAAACAAAACAAAACUUAAGAUGUUUAAUACACAUUUUUCUUUACAUCCAGUCAGUCAACUCUGAUAAUUAAAAUGAAACUGAUUUACAAGUUCACUCAGCCACCUUAAGGAGCUCAGUUAAUUAAUAAACUUAAAUCAACUUAGCUAACAGAUUAUGUUAGUUAAGCUAAAAUAGAUUCCUAAGUUAAAAGAACUACUAAAGUAUUUGAAUUAACUAAAAAACCCAAGUCAACUGAACUAGGACAAGAGUUUAAACAAUAGAUUAUUUUAAUUUAGCUGAAAGGGUUUUCCCAAGUAAAAAUGACAAUUAAAGGAGUUGAACUGACUAACAAAUCUCAGUCAACUAAACUAAGUCGAAAGUUUAGACAACAUGUGAUUUUUCAUCAACAUAACAUUUGGUUGUGUUACAAGAACAAACUCUAUUUCUUGACUUAACUUAAAAUUUUAAGGCAGCCCUUUACCUGAUAUUUUUAAGUUGAAACAAGUUAUAUUUUACAGUGUACAAAUAAAUAUGGUUGUCAGGGUGUCGUUGCCAAGCAACAGCGUGAAAAAUAUACUCCGAGUGCAAACAUUCAAAGGGAAGCGCUGACAAAUGUUUAGCACAUCCGGCCCGUAGCCAUAGUAACGCUGAUGAAGAUGACAACAUUGAUUGUGUUUUUUUAAUGGCCACACUUCACGUGUGGGUUUCUAAAACGUUAACGUCUGAUUUUCUAAUCAGAUAUCGGGCAACUCAGGAUGUUUCCAGGAUGGUACGUUGUGGGGAAAUCUGAAUAUUUAAUCACAAAUAAAUACAGCGUAGAAAGCAGGUGGAUGAUUUUCAGGCGAACAGCAUCACAUGACAAGUGUUUAAACAUUAGUUUUCAUUAAGCAACUUAUUUUCCAAGUAGUGAAACACAUACUUAUAUAAUUGCUCUCAUAUAAAAGUCAUGACCCCGCUUAAGUAAUACAAAGGUUUUAGAAUACCAU
rnacentral:lncRNA from 1 species